CUGGAAUAGAGGACCCAACAAACGGAUGCCUGGACUCCUGACCCAAACCCACAGUAAUGGAAUCAGGACGUGCUUGCCCCUGAAGGUUAAAGCUGAUGUUUGCCCCCCAAGGAAACCUCUUUCCAUCAAAGCAUCUCUCACCAUCAUCCCUGGCCUACAGAGGGCAUCCGCUUUUCAAGAAUGCCAACUCCUCUCUCACCAAUGUGUGUUUUUUCUGAAGGUGGGUGAGUAGAUCAGUGAU
rnacentral:lncRNA from 10 species